CCCGAUGAUCAAGAGCGAAAGUUAAGGGUUCGAAAACGAUCAGAUACCGUUGUAGUCUUAACUAUAAACAAUGCAAACCAGUGUUAGGGCGAUGUCCCUUUCGACUCCCCCCGGAACUUAGAGAAAUCAGAGUAUUUGGGUUCCGGGGGGAGUAUGGUCGCAAGAUUGAAACUUAAAGGAAUUGACGGAAGGGCACACAAAGAGUGGAACCUGCGGCUUAAUUUGACUCAACACGGGAAAACUCACCAGGUCCGGAUACACGUAUGAAAGUCAAGCUGAAAGACUUUACUCAAUGAUGUAAGUGGUGGUGCAUGGUCGUUCGUGGUUCGUGGAUUGAUUUGUCUGGUUAAUUCCGAUAACGAGCGAGACCCUAGCGUUCUAAAUAGGGGGGUUAGCCAAGCGCUGCAGCAAUGUGGUGCUAGCUUCGCCUUAUCUUUAAACUUCUUAGACGUAUCAGAGCCGAAAAGGUUCUUGAAAUGGGUUAAUAACAGGUCAGUUAUGCCCUUAGAUGUUCUGGGCCGCACGCGCGUUACAAUGGCAUGUAAAGCGCGUGCCCUUUGCUGGGUUCCCCCCAGGCCGAAAGGUCUGGGUAAUCACUAAGACUUGCCUUGACUGGGCUCGAUCUUUGGAAUUAUUGGUCUUAAACGAGGAAUUUUUAGUAAUAGCCAGGUCAUUAGCCUGCGCUGAAUGCGUCCCUGCCCUUUGUAC
rnacentral:rRNA from 1 species